GAUGAACGCUAGCGGGAGGCUUAACACAUGCAAGUCGAGGGGUAGCAUGAGGUAGCAAUACUUUGAUGACGACCGGCGCACGGGUGAGUAACGCGUAUGUAACCUACCUUGUACAGGGGGAUAGCCCGGAGAAAUUCGGAUUAAUACCCCAUAAUGAUAUCUGAAGGCAUCUUUAGGUAUUUAAAGUUUCGACGGUACGAGAUGGGCAUGCGUGACAUUAGCUAGUUGGUAAGGUAACGGCUUACCAAGGCUGCGAUGUCUAGGGGUCCUGAGAGGGUGAUCCCCCACACUGGUACUGAGACACGGACCAGACUCCUACGGGAGGCAGCAGUGAGGAAUAUUGGUCAAUGGGCGUAAGCCUGAACCAGCCAUCCCGCGUGAAGGAAGAAGGCGCUAUGCGUCGUAAACUUCUUUUCCGGAGGAAUAAAAUUUCGUACGUGUACGGGACUGAAGGUACUCCGGGAAUAAGCAUCGGCUAACUCCGUGCCAGCCGCCGCGGUAAAAC
rnacentral:rRNA from 1 species